CUACGGGACGCAGCAGUGGGGAAUAUUGCGCAAUGGGGGCAACCCUGACGCAGCAACGCCGCGUGCGGGACGAAGGCCUUCGGGUUGUAAACCGCUUUCAGCAGGGAUGAACCAUGACGGUACCUGCAGAAGAAGCCCCGGCUAACUACGUGCCAGCAGCCGCGGUAAUACGUAGGGAGCAAGCGUUAUCCGGAUUUACUGGGUGUAAAGGGCGUGUAGGCGGGCCUGCAAGUCAGAAGUGAAAUC
rnacentral:rRNA from 1 species